rnacentral:lncRNA from 1 species
CGGGCUUCUGCUGAGUCCUCAGUGCUGCUUACCUCGGCCGCACUGGUCCCCACCUCUGCUUGUCUCUUCUGUUCUUUUGUGCUUGUCCUGGCCUGCUCCCUGAUGUUGAUAGCCAAGAGCCAGAGAUUUUUAGUUUCUCUCUCUCUCUCUCUCUCUCUCUCUCUCUCUCUCUCUCUCUCUCUCUCCUCUCUCUCUCUCUCCUCUCUCUCUC